ensembl:snRNA U2 U2 spliceosomal RNA
AACCCACCAAACUUUUGCCUAAGAUCAAGAUCAAUCUGAUCGGUCUUCCAGCGGGGGACUAUAUAUUAAGCGGAUUUUUAGAACUGGGAGUUGGCAAAGGGGCUUGCUUCUUGCACUCCACGCAUUAACACAGUAUUGCAAUGCCUGUGGGAGCGGAGCACCUUUA